GAAACCUUGAACCAUAGAAAAUGAAUAUUGAUAAAGUUAUUUCUUCAAACGCUAUAAAAAAUGUCGUACAGAAAUGAAUGACACAAAUGCUGCCACAGAGCGGAAUACAAUUUAUUAAAAGGCCAAUACAAUUGGUGAGAAUUAAUAAAACCAAUGGUUUUUGAAAUUAACAAUGAGACCUACGUUGUCUACAUUACUUCAGAUUUCGGCUGUUCUCAAGAUGGUUUGGUCAGAAAGUUUAGAGUUCGAUAGCAUACUUCCAGACAACCCACAAGAAUAUGAUAAUUUACAGCCGCCCAGAGAGAAAGGU